UACGGAGGGUGCGAGCGUUGUCCGGAAUCAUUGGGCGUAAAGGGCGCGUAGGCGGCCCUCCUUGUCGCGUGUGAAAGCCCCGGGCUCAACCUGGGAACGGCGCGCGAGACGGGGGGGCUGGAGUUCGGGAGAGGAGCGUGGAAUUCCCAGUGUAGAGGUGAAAUUCGUAGAUAUUGGGAAGAACACCGGUGGCGAAGGCGGCGCUCUGGACCGAGACUGACGCUGAGGCGCGAAAGCGUGGGGAGCAAACAGGAUUGAGAUAC
rnacentral:rRNA from 1 species